UCGACCUACGGGACGCAGCAGUGGGGAAUAUUGCACAAUGGGGGAAACCCUGAUGCAGCGACGCUGCGUGAGUGAAGAAGUAUCUCGGUACGUAAAGCUCUAUCAGCAGGGAAGAAAAAAAGUCUUCGGCUUUGGACGGUACCUGACUAAGAAGCCCCGGCUAACUACGUGCCAGCAGCCGCGGUAAUACGGAGGGGGCAAGCGUUAUCCGGAUUUACUGGGUGUAAAGGGAGCGUAGACGGCAGCGCAAGUCUGGAGUGAAAUGCCGGGGCUCAACCCCGGAACUGCUUUG
rnacentral:rRNA from 1 species